UCGGUAGGUGAACCUGCGGAAGGAUCAUUACAGAGUUCAUGCCCGAAAGGGUAGACCUCCCACCCUUGUGUAUUAUUACUUUGUUGCUUUGGCGAGCUGCCUUCGGGCCUUGUAUGCUCGCCAGAGAAUACCAAAACUCUUUUUAUUAAUGUCGUCUGAGUACUAUAUAAUAGUUAAAACUUUCAACAACGGAUCUCUUGGUUCUGGCAUCGAUGAAGAACGCAGCGAAAUGCGAUAAGUAAUGUGAAUUGCAGAAUUCAGUGAAUCAUCGAAUCUUUGAACGCACAUUGCGCCCCUUGGUAUUCCCGGGGGCAUGCCUGUUCGAGCGUCAUUUCAACCCUCAAGCUUAGCUUGGUAUUGAGUCUAUGUCAGUAAUGGCAGGCUCUAAAAUCAGUGGCGGCGCCGCUGGGUCCUGAACGUAGUAAUAUCUCUCGUUACAGGUUCUCGGUGUGCUUCUGCCAAAACCCAAAUUUUACUAUGGUUGACCUCGGAUCAGGUAG
rnacentral:rRNA from 1 species